CGCCACCGCCACCGCCUCCUGGAAAAGUAAAUGGACCCGAGAAGCCUGAUCCUGGAAAAGUAAACGGACCCGAGAAGCCUGAUCCAGGAAAAAUAAAUGGACCGAGAAGCCCGCUCCCGGAAAAGUAAAUGGACCCGAGAACCCGCUCCUGGAAAAAUAAAUGGACCCGAGAAGCCCGCUCCCGGAAAAGUAAAUGGACCUGAGAAGCCUCCUUCUGCAAUACUAAAUGGACCCAAGGAGAAUGGACCAAAGAGGGGCGCAAAGGUGAAGAUCCUUAGGAAGGAGUCUUAUUGAUGUUCAGGUUCUCUCUCUCUCUCUCACACACACACACGCACACACAUUUUUAAUGGCAUAUUCUGUUAUCCAGGACCCAAAGACUCACUAUCUUGUUGUUGUUCGAUUCAACAAAGUAAAUUAUGCAGGUGUGCCUACAAAUAAAUUUGCUCUGGGUGAGAUCCAGGAAGUGAAAUGAGGUCAGUCAUGUACCAAUUUUGAAGUUUGUAUAAUAACAGUCCUAUGUGCACCUUUAUCUAUGAGUAAAUGAACUGAGUGUCAUAGUGCAUGUAUGAUCCAAUUUCACUAGAUUGUCCAUUAUUAUAACUGCUUGCCUUCUACCUUUCUAUAUUGCAUUAAUAACCAAAACUUCCUGGCAUAAAAGAAUUAUAUUGUUAUUUUU